rnacentral:misc_RNA from 1 species
GGAAGUAGAAGUCGUAACAAGGUUUCCGUAGGUGAACCAGCGGAGGGAUCAUUACCGAGUUUACAACUCCCAAACCCCUGUGAACAUACCUGUUUUGUUGCUUCGGCGGUGCCCUCGCUCUCGCGGCGGGGCCCGCCAGAGGACCCAAACAAACUCUUUACUUUGAUCUAGGAUUAUACUUCUGAGUGAUACAAAAAAUAAAAUCAAAACUUUCAACAACGGAUCUCUUGGUUCUG